GGUUGACCUCGGAUCAGGUAGGAAUACCCGCUGAACUUAAGCAUAUCAAUAAGCGGAGGAAAAGAAACCAACAGGGAUUGCCUCAGUAACGGCGAGUGAAGCGGCAACAGCUCAAAUUUGAAAUCUGGCCCCCGGCCCGAGUUGUACUUUGCAGAGGAUGCUUCUGGCGCGGUGCCUUCCAAGUCCCCUGGAACGGGGCGCCGGAGAGGGUGAGAGCCCCGUACGGUCGGCCGCCAAGCCUGUGUGAAGCUCCUUCGACGAGUCGAGUAGUUUGGGAAUGCUGCUCUAAGCGGGAGGUAGACCCCUUCUAAAGCUAAAUACCGGCCAGAGACCGAUAGCGCACAAGUAGAGUGAUCGAAAGAUGAAAAGCACUUUGAAAAGAGGGUUAAACAGCACGUGAAAUUGUUGAAAGGGAAGCGCUCGUGCCCAGACGUGCGCUGGGGCGAUCAUCCGGCGUUCUCGCCGGUGCACUCGCCCCGGCGCAGGCCAGCGUCGGCUCGGGCGGGGGGACAAAGGCGCCUGGAACGUGGCCCCUCCGGGGGUGUUAUAGCCAGGCGUGCCAUGCCUCCGCCCGGGCCGAGGUCCGCGCCCUGCAAGGACGCUGGCGUAAUGGGCACCGGCGGCCCGUCUUGAAACACGGACCAAGGAGUCAAGGUCUUGCGCGAGUGUCUGGGUGCCAAACCCGCACGCGCAAUGAAAGUGAACGCAGGUGGGAGCUUCGGCGCACCACCGACCGAUCCUGAUGUUCUCGGAUGGAUUUGAGUAGGAGCGUAGGGCCUUGGACCCGAAAGAUGGUGAACUAUGCUUGGAUAGGGUGAAGCCAGAGGAAACUCUGGUGGAGGCUCGCAGCGGUUCUGACGUGCAAAUCGAUCGUCAAAUCUGAGCAUGGGGGCGAAAGACUAAUCGAACCAUCUAGUAGCUGGUUACCGCCGAAGUUUCCCUCAGGAUAGCAGUGUUGUCUUCAGUUUUAUGAGGUAAAGCGAAUGAUUAGGGACUCGGGGGCGCUUUUUAGCCUUCAUCCAUUCUCAAACUUUAAAUAUGUAAGAAGCCCUUGUUGCUUCGCUGAACGUGGGCACUCGAAUGCAGCAACACUAGUGGGCCAUUUUUGGUAAGCAGAACUGGCGAUGUGGGAUGAACCAUACGCGGGGUUAAGGUGCCGGAGUGGACGCUCAUCAGACACCACAAAAGGUGUUAGCACAUCUUGACAGCAGGUACGCUAUCACGAUGCCCUGGUACUCCCCCGAACCUUUGCUAACUUCUCUCUAGGACGGUGGCCAUGGAAGUCGGAAUCCGCUAAGGACUGUGUAACAACUCACCUGCCGAAUGUGCUAGCCCUGAAAAUGGAUGGCGCUCAAGCGUCCCACCCAUACCCCGCCCUCAGGGUAGACACGAUGCCCUGAGGAGUAGGCGGCCGCGGCGCGCGUGACGAAGCCCAGGGCGUGAGCCCGGGUCGAACGCGCGCUGGUGCAGAUCUUGGUGGUAGGUUUUUCAGCUCUCACGGUCCCUAGAGAACAGUGCUAACCCCCUCCUUUAGGUAGUAGCAAAUACUUCAAUGAGAACUUGAAGGACCGAAGUGGGGAAAGGUUCCAUAUGAACAGCGGUUGGAUGUGGGUUAGUCGAUCCUGAGCCAUAGGGCAGUUCCGUUUCAAAGGGGCACUCGUGCCCCGUGUGGCGAAAGGGAAGCCGGUCAACAUUCCGGCACCUGGAUGUGGGUUUUGCGCGGCAACGCAACUGAACGCGGAGACGGCGGCGGGGGCCCCAGGCAGAGUUCUCUUUUCUUCUUAACGGCCUCUCACCCUGGAAACAGUUUGUCUGGAGAUAGGGUUUCAUGACCGGAAGAGCCCGGCACUUCUGCCGGGUCUGGCGCGCCCCCGACGUCCCUUGAAAAUCCGCGGGAAGGAAUAAUUCUCACGCUAGGUCGUACUCAUAACCGCAGCAGG
rnacentral:rRNA from 1 species